ACUGCAACAACAACAAAACAAACAAACCCACAAACACUUGGUUCUAAGCAUUACACCUGGGAGAAAAUGGUCUUCACAAACUGCAACAGAACAAAGCCACAGACACGGGGUUCUAAGCAUUACACCUGGGAGAAAAUGGUCUUCACAAACUGCAACAAAAAUAACAAUAUUCACUUGGUUUUAAGCAUUACAUCUGGGAUAAAAUGGUCUUCACAAAGUGCAACAAAAAACCAAAAAGCAAAACAAACAAAAAAAUUUUAAAAAACCAAACCCCACAAACACUUGGUUUUAAGCAUUACACCUGGGAUAAAAUGGUCUUCACAAACUCUAACAACAACAAAACAAACAAACCCACAAACACUUGGUUCUAAGCAUUACACCUGGGAUAAAAUGAUCCUCACAAACUGCAACCAAAAAAAAAAAAAACCAACAAAAAAACCACCCACUACCAAAACCUCCCCCCGCACAAAAAAAAAACCAAAAAAAACCCCACAAACAUUAGGUUUUAAGCAUUACCCCGGGAGAAAACAGUCCUUACUAGCUGCAACAAAAAAUCCCACAAACACUUGGUUUUAAGCAUUACACCUGGGAGAAAAUGGUCUUCACAAACUGCAACAACAACAAAACAAACCCACAAACGGUUCUAAGCAUUUAUCACUGUGAGAAAAUGGUCUUCACAAACUGCAAUUAAAAAAAAAAAAUUUAAAAAUAACCAAAAAACAAACCCACAAACACUUGGUUCUAAGCAUUACACCUGGGAUAAAAUGGUCUUCACAAAGUGCAACCAAAAAAAAACCACCCACUACCAAAAACCCCACCAAAAAAAAAAAACAAAACCCCACAAACAUUUGGUUCUAAGCAUUACCCCUGGGAGAAAACAGUCCUUACAAGCUGCAACAAAAAAUCCCACAAACAUUUGGUUUUAAGCAUUACACCUGGGAUAAAAUGGUCUUCACAAACUGCAACAACAACAAAACAAACCCACAAACAGUUGGUUCUAAGCAUUUAUCACUGUGAGAAAAUGGUCUUCACAAACUGCAAUUAAAAAAAAAAUUAAAAAAGAACCAAAAAACAAACCCAUAAACACUUGGUUUUAAGCAUUACACCUGGGAGAAAAUGGUCCUUACUAGCUGCAACAAAAAACCCCACAAACACUUGGUUCUAAGCCUUACACCUGGGAUAAAAUGAUCCUCACAAACUUCAACCAAAAAAAAAAAAACAACAAAAAAACCACCCACUACCAAAACCUCCCCCCCCCAAAAAAAAAAACAAAAAAACCCCCACAAACAUUUGAUUUUAAGCAUUACACCUGGGAUAAAAUGGUCCUUACAAGCUGCAACAAAAAAAAACAACAUUCGCUUGGCUUUAGAAAAUGGUCUUCACAAACUGAAGUAAAAAAAAAAAAAAAACACACACAAAAAAAAAACCACCAAAAAACUACCAAAAACAAAAACCCCACCAAAAAAAAAAAAAAACCACUUGGUUAUAAGCCUUACCCCGGGAUAAAAUAGUCCUUACAAACUGCAACAACAAUCAAAAAACAAAAAACAAACAAAAAAAACCCACAAAAAAACCGAAAAACCCACAAACA